AGUGGAAUUUCGAUUGAUUUUUAAAAGAUUUUUUAAUGCGUAUAACUCACAGUAACUAUAUAUUUUAGUACACUGCAGUGCGGCGCUGCUGUUGUAUUUCAGUAUCGUUGUACUAACACUAUAAUACAUGCAUUUAGAUUGCAUUAUAAUUGUUGAGGGGCACACAAUAAGACACAUUUUACCAUACGAGAUUUAGAUAGGUACAUAAUAAUAUAUACUUACGUAGUGACGUACACAUUACGCGCUAUACAGUAAUAAUAUAACAAUAUACCCGUAUUAUGUUAGCAAUUAAACAUUGCAACAUAUGUUUGAACUUUCGCAGUGCGGAUUUAUUUGAACGACACCGUUUCGCCGUUCAAAAAUUAUCGGCCUAUUAUAAUAUUUGUUUAAAAUAUAUUUGCUUUUAACCGUUAAUUACAUUGUAUAGUUUCCUAGUCAAAAUUCAUGUCGUGAUCGAAUUUGUUCGCGUCCGUAUGCGGGAAAACCGGGAUUUUCGAAAAAUUCAUUAAAACACUCUAAAUUUACGGCGAUUGUACGGAAAAAAACGACCGCAGUUACAAAAAAAAAAAAACAUUAAAUUAGAAUCGAAAAUAUUACGUUAAAACGGCAAAAUUAAAAAUGAUUCGUAUAACGGUGUGUGCUAUAAUGUUGUAUCGUGUAUUGUACAGAAAUUCGGAGAGUUCAUAUGAUUAUGAUUGUUUCAAAUAGUGUCCAAAGCGAACAAAAGUAAAUACAAUUUCAGGUAAAUUCAAAUGAUGGCGUACGGUACAUCAUAUGAACCCUUUAUAAUCUCGGUGUGUUCGCAGCCAAAGACAAAAUAAUUUCACGGAUUUCAGGCAAAAAUCCUCAUUAAACUAUGAGACCCAUAGGUACACGGUGCUGCGAUAAACUUUUAUCGUGUAUGCAAUUAUAUUGACCGUCGGUUACCAAAUAGCCAGGUUUCCGCAAACAACCGUGAUGGCACACCCAUCAGCAGUGUUAGAUGUUUGUUUCUCUUACGGAUAACAGACGAAUUUUAAAACCAGUGUACGAAUUGUAUUAAUUUAUCGCUUUGAAAUAUAUUGGAGGUACUUUAACGUCCAUAUGAGUAUAACAAUAUUAAUAACUACUUACCUUAUAUUAAUGCUA